UACGGGGGGGGUAAGCGUUGUUCGGAAUUACUGGGCGUAAAGGGCUCGUAGGCGGCCAACUAAGUCAGACGUGAAAUCCCUCAGCUUAACUGGGGAACUGCGUCUGAUACUGGAUGGCUUGGAUUCGGGAGAGGAAUGCGGAAUUCCAGGUGUAGCGGUGAAAUGCGUAGAUAUCUGGAGGAACACCGGUGGCGAAGGCGGCAU
rnacentral:rRNA from 1 species